GAUGAACGCUGGCGGCGUGCCUAAUACAUGCAAGUCGAGCGAACGGACGAGAAGCUUGCUUCUCUGAUGUUAGCGGCGGACGGGUGAGUAACACGUGGAUAACCUACCUAUAAGACUGGGAUAACUUCGGGAAACCGGAGCUAAUACCGGAUGAUAUUUUGAACCGCAUGGUUCAAAAGUGAAAGACGGUCUUGCUGUCACUUAUAGAUGGAUCCGCGCUGCAUUAGCUAGUUGGUAAGGUAACGGCUUACCAAGGCAACGAUGCAUAGCCGACCUGAGAGGGUGAUCGGCCACACUGGAACUGAGAGACGGUCCAGACUCCUACGGGAGGCAGCAGUCGGGAAUCUUCCGCAAUGGGCGAAAGCCUGACGGAGCAACGCCGCGUGAGUGAUGAAGGUCUUCGGAUCGUAAAACUCUGUUAUUAGGGAAGAACAUAUGUGUAAGUAACUGUGCACAUCUUGACGGUACCUAAUCAGAAAGCCACGGCUAACUACGUG
rnacentral:rRNA from 1 species